GAUGAACGCUGGCGGCGUGCCUAAUACAUGCAAGUCGAGCGAACGGACGAGAAGCUUGCUUCUCUGAUGUUAGCGGCGGACGGGUGAGUAACACGUGGAUAACCUACCUAUAAGACUGGGAUAACUUCGGAAAACCGGAGCUAAUACCGGAUAAUAUUUUGAACCGCAUGGUUCAAAAGUGAAAGACGGUCUUGCUGUCACUUAUAGAUGGAUCCGCGCUGCAUUAGCUAGUUGGUAAGGAAACGGCUUACCAAGGCAACGAUGCAUAGCCGACCUGAGAGGGUGAUCGGCCACACUGGAACUGAGACACGGUCCAGACUCCUACGGGAGGCAGCAGUAGGGAAUCUUCCGCAAUGGGCGAAAGCCUGACGGAGCAACGCCGCGUGAGUGAUGAAGGUCUUCGGAUCGUAAAACUCUGUUAUUAGGGAAGAACAUAUGUGUAAGUAACUGUGCACAUCUUGACGGUACCUAAUCAGAAAGCCACGGCUAACUACGUG
rnacentral:rRNA from 1 species